ACGGAGGGGGCUAGCGUUGUUCGGAAUUACUGGGCGUAAAGCGCACGUAGGCGGCUUUGCAAGUUAGAGGUGAAAGCCCGGGGCUCAACCCCGGAAUUGCCUUUAAAACUGCAUCGCUAGAGUUGUGGAGAGGUUAGUGGAAUUCCGAGUGUAGAGGUGAAAUUCGUAGAUAUUCGGAAGAACACCAGUGGCGUAGGCGACUAACUGGACAGGUAUUGACGCUGAGGUGCGAAAGCGUGGGGAGCAAACAGGA
rnacentral:rRNA from 1 species